rnacentral:tRNA from 1 species
GCGUCUGUAGCUCAGUUGGAUAGAGCGUCAGACUCCGACUCUGAAGGUCGCAGGUUCGACUCCUGUCAGGCGCGCCA